rnacentral:rRNA from 1 species
UGGAAACGUGGAUUAAUAUCUUAUAGUAUCAGGAGGUCGCAUGGCCACUUGUUUAAAGGUUACGGUAAAGGAUGAGUAUGCGUCCUAUUAGCUAUUAUGUAUGGUAACGGCCUACAUAGGCGAUGAUAGGUAGGGGUUCUGAGAGGGAGAUCCCCCACACUGGUACUGAGACACGGACCAGACUCCUACGGGAGGCAGCAGUGAGGAAUAUUGGACAAUGGGAGCAAUCCUGAUCCAGCCAUGCCGCGUGCAGGAAGACGGUCCUAUGGAUUGUAAACUGCUUUUAUACAGGAAGAAAAAGCCCGACGAGUCGGGUGUUGACGGUACUGUAUGAAUAAGGAUCGGCUAACUCCGUGCCAGCAGCCGCGGUAAUACGGAGGAUCCGAGCGUUAUCCGGAAUUAUUGGGUUUAAAGGGUCCGUAGGCGGGAUAAUAAGUCAGUGGUGAAAGUUUGUGGCUCAACCAUAAAAUUGCCAUUGAUACUGUUAUUCUUGAGUAAUUGUGAAGUGGUUAGAAUGUGUAGUGUAGCGGUGAAAUGCAUAGAUAUUACACAGAAUACCAAUUGCGAAGGCAGAUCGCUAACAAUUAAGCUGACGCUGAUGGACGAAAGCGUAGGUAGCGAACAGGAUUAGAUAACCUGGUAGUCUACGCAGUAAACGAUUGGUUACUAGCUGUUUGGUCUAAUUGAGGGGCUAGUGGCUAAGCGAAAGUGAUAGGUAGACCACCUGGGGGAGUACGUUCGCCAGAAUGAAACUCAAAUGCAUUGAUGGGGGCCCGCACAAGCGGUGGAGCAUGUGGUUUAAUUCGAUGAUACGCGAGGAACCUUACCAGGGCUUAAAUGCAUUCUGACAGGGGUAGAAAUACCUUUUUCUUCGGACAGAUUGCAAGGUGCUGCAUGGUUGUCGUCAGCUCGUNCCGUGAGGUGUCAGCUUAAGUCCUAUAACGAGCGCAACCCCUAUGGUUAGUUGCUAGCAGGUCAUGCUGAGAACUCUAGCCAGACUGCCGGUGUAAACCGUGAGGAAGGUGGGGAUGACGUCAAAUCAUCACGGCCCUUACGUCCUGGGCUACACACGUGCUACAAUGGUAUGUACAAUGAGCAGCCACUACGCGAGUAGGCGCAAAUCUCAAAAGCAUAUCACAGUUCGGAUCGGAGUCUGCAACUCGACUCCGUAAAGCUGGAAUCGCUAGUAAUCGCACAUCA